UAUCAACGGCGGACUACCACUAGCGGCGACAACGAACCGCCAAUGUAUAUGUAAAAUGAGCGGCGUUUUUAUGUGGCCGCCAGUGUUCGGAUAAGCAACCGCCGCUGGAAAAAAUAAAAUAGGGCUUUUCCCCUUCCCGAAUAGCAUCCCCAAAUUGCGCCCGCCAAAUCUCUCUCCCAAAACCCCUUUUCCCUCCUCUCCCAAAUCGCGCCUGCCAAAUCUCUCUCCCAAAACCCCUUUUCCCUCCUCUCCCAAAUCGCCCCAUCCCCAAAUCGCGUGUGCGCCAAUAUUUCUCUCCCAAAACCCUUCUUCCCUCUUCUCUCCCAAAUCGCGCGCCCCAUCCCCAAAUCCCGAAAGUCUCUCUCUCUCUCUCUCCAAAGUCCCUACACUCCGGUCUCUCUACAUAUGGAUUCCAUUUCCAUUGCUUGUUGAAGACGCUGAUCUCUCAGCCGUUGCCCUCCUUGCUGGAACACGCCAAAGUCCGAGAAGGCCCGCAAGAGGAAGAAGCACCAGCAACAGCCGCAGCAGAAUAUUACCCUAUAGAAAUUUGAUACCUGGUCUGUUUUUCAUCACCGAAUCCCCCGGUGGCUGGUGAGUCUUAUUAGUAAACACCUUAACAAGUGCUGGGAUUCGGUGUCUAGGCCAAAAUGGGUAUGACGGACGAGUUUGAAGCUUCUUUGCAAGUAUACUAUGGGGAUUUGAUACUGACAUUUCUUUUGAAGUGAAUGAAAUCAAGAGAUCUGUAGCUUCCACAAGCAGGAGAACAGCCAUCUGAUUUUCUGAUCUCAAGCAAAGAAGAUAUUGGUUUCCUCUAAUGGUAGGAAUUGGGUUACUAAUAUUGCAUCAGCUAAGUGGAGUCAAUGACAUCCUAUUUUAUGCGAGCAAUAUUUUCAAAGCUGCUCGUAGGUUUAGUUAUCAAUAUUUUCACCAGUAUUGUGCUUUUUUUUUUUUUUCCAGUUGAAUGUGGACAGUUGCUGUUUUUACCUUCUUAGCCAUCUUUUUGUAGGCUACUAAAUUCCAUCUGGUCCAUCCCAAGCCUGGGUAGAGGGUUGAUGUCAGGUUUGUUGAUGGGCAUUGAACCUUUGCCAAGCAAUCAUAAAAAAGAUCCCAAAUAGCUGGGACAAGGCUAUAAUGAUAAUGAUGACAAUAUACCAUCUAAUUGAGUCCAGAUUUGAAAUAACAGGAUUCUCCUAUCAAGGAGAUUUUCUUGACAUGGCCCAUUAUGAUGAUAAUGGUGACAAUAUACCAUCUAGAGUACCAUAGCAUUUUACUCACCACAAAUUGAAACCACUUGUUUUGAAAUAUCUUAUCCAUUACUCAGUUUUCAACAUGCACGACAUGGGCAGUCUGUAACUGUUUCCAAUCUGAUACGUUCAGUUAGUCUACAAUUCAAAAUUGUCAGAAUUUGCUGGCCAUUGAUUGGUGAGGAGACAGUUCCAACUGAACUGAUAGUUCUGCAUUUUGACACUUCACAGAGGGAGGGAGAGAGUUAAGGAUUCCUUCAAACAUGUUCAAGUUGCCACUGUUUGUCUUACUACUUUUCACCAUGCCAUUUGAUUCAUCAGCUGGUUAAGGAUCUCUUCAAACAAGUUCAAGUCGCCACCAUUUGUCUUACUACUUUUCACCAUGCCAUUUGAUUCAUUAGCUUGUUUUGAAAGGUUUUUGGAGGUCCAUCUGGUAUGGAUCUGUUCAUAAGCUUUGUUUUGUCUUACUUAAUGGCUUGUUACUACUUUUCACCAUGCCAUUUGGUUCAUCACAGUUUUUAGUGUUUUCAAAAUGCCUGGGAAAGGAAUUAUG